GAAGAGCAGAAAUGGGAGCCUUGGGAAAGCCAAGGCCUUCUUCGCUCAUCAUUACCAUGUUUUAUUGUUUGACAUUCUGCUUCUUAGCUACUACUAGUGUUCAUGCUACUAUUCCUCUUUUACCUCCCAUAAUCCUACCUCCUAUUCCCAAGCUACCUCCUAUUCCCAUCCUACCUCCUUACAAGUCAUCACCACCUCCGCCACAGCCCAAGUCUUCACCACCUCCGCCUUCACCACCUCCGCCACAGCCCAAGUCUUCACCACCUCCGCCACCUCCGCCUUCACCACCUCCGCCACAGCCUAAGUCUUCACCACCUCCGCCACCUCCGCCUUCACCACCUCCGCCUUCACCACCUCCGCCUUCACCACCUCCGCCACCUCCGCCUUCACCACAGCCUAAGUCUUCACCACCUCCGCCACCGCCCAACUCAUCACCACCUCCGCCACCCUCACCCUCACCUCUACCUCCUUACAAGUCACCACCACCACCAUCUCCAUCACCAUCUCCAUCACAAUCUCUACCAUCUCUAUCACCACCAUCUCCAUCACCAUCUCUAUCACCAUCUCCAUCACCAUCUCCAAUACC
rnacentral:lncRNA from 1 species